rnacentral:rRNA from 1 species
UACGGGGGUGGCAAGCGUUUGUUCGGAAUUACUGGGCGUAAAGGCUCGUAGGCGGCCAACUAAGUCAGACGUGAAAUCCCUCGGCUUAACCGGGGAACUGCAUCUGAUACUGGAUGGCUUGAGUUCGGGAGAGGGAUGCGGAAUUCCAGGUGUAGCGGUGAAAUGCGUAGAUAUCUGGAGGAACACCGGUGGCGAAGGCGGCAUCCUGGACCGACACUGACGCUGAGGAGCGAAAGCCAGGGGAGCAAACGGG